rnacentral:rRNA from 1 species
GAUGAACGCUGGCGGCGUGCCUAAUACAUGCAAGUCGAGCGAACAGAUGAGGAGCUUGCUCCUCUGACGUUAGCGGCGGACGGGUGAGUAACACGUGGAUAACCUACCUAUAAGACUGGGAUAACUUCGGGAAACCGGAGCUAAUACCGGAUAAUAUAUUGAACCGCAUGGUUCAAUAGUGAAAGACGGUUUUGCUGUCACUUAUAGAUGGAUCCGCGCCGCAUUAGCUAGUUGGUAAGGUAACGGCUUACCAAGGCAACGAUGCGUAGCCGACGUGAGAGGGGGAUCGCCGACACUGGAACUGAGACAGGGUCCAGGCGCCUACGGGAGGCAGCAGUAGGGAAUCUUCCGCAAUGGGCGAAAGCCUGACGGAGCAACGCCGCGUGAGUGAUGAAGGUGUUCGGAUCGUAAAAAUCUGUUAUUAGUGAAGAACAAAUGUGUAAGUAACUAUGCACGUAUUGACGGUACCUAAUCAGAAAGCAACGGCUAACUACGUG